AUUGAACGCUGGCGGCAGGCCUAACACAUGCAAGUCGAGCGAGCGGCGGACGGGUGAGUAAUGUCUGGGAAACUGCCUGAUGGAGGGGGAUAACUACUGGAAACGGUAGCUAAUACCGCAUACCAUCAGAUGUGCCCAGGUGGGAUGAGCUAGUAGGUGGGGUAACGGCUCACCUAGGCGACGAUCCCUAGCUGGUCUGAGAGGAGGACAAGCCACACUGGAACUGAGACACGGCCCAUACGCCUACGGGGGGCAGCAGUGGGGAAUAUUGCACAAUGGGCGCAAGCCUGAUGCAGCAGUGCCGCGUGUGUGAAGAAGGCCUUCGGGUUGUAAAGCACUUUCAGCAGGGAGGCGUUACCCGCAGAAGAAGCACCGGCUAACUCCGUGCCAGCAGCCGCGGUAAUAC
rnacentral:rRNA from 1 species